rnacentral:rRNA from 1 species
UUAUUGGAGAGUUUGAUCCUGGCUCAGGACGAACGCUGGCGGCGUGCCUAAUACAUGCAAGUCGAGCGGGGUUUAUUAGAAGCUUG